AUGAAUUUUCCUCCACAUCUUGGAAGUUGGGGGAAAAAGAAAAUCGCUAUCUUACAUGCCUGUGAAGAUGAAAGAGCAGUUCUGAACGUUAUUGUGGAGGUGACUGGUACUCAAAAUGAAGGGCCAGCAAUGCAUCCGGUGAUAUUCAUGCAACUGAAGUGCCUGAAUAAGAAGAGCGUAAGUUUUACACUUGUGGGAUAUCUGAGGUGGGUGUCUGGGUGUCACUUCAGUGCCAUACCAAGCCAUAUUUUGGAGCCUAAGUCCAAAAACAAAAUCCAUAACACUGCUUGAUCCUGUCUUUAAAAAAAUGUACCAUGUUCAUCAUGGAUUUUCUGGCAUUAAUUUUAUUUUUAUAAUGCUGCAUUAAAUAUUAUUUGGGCUUUCCAGAUGGCGCAGUGGUAGAGAAUCUGCCUGCCAGUGUAGGAGACGCAGGAGAUGCAGGUUAGAUCCCUGAGUUGGGAAGAUCUCAUGGAGUAGGAAAUGGCUUCUCACUUCAGU
rnacentral:lncRNA from 1 species